AGCUCCAAUAGCGUAUAUUAAAGUUGUUGCGGUUAAAAGCUCGUAGUUGGAUUUCUGUUGAGGAUGGACGGUCCGCACUAAGUGCGUGUAUCUGUUACAGCCUCGGCAUCCUCUAGGAGAACGGCGCUGUGAUUCAUUUCAUGGUCCGGAAUUCUAGACUUUUACUUUGAGGAAAUUAGAGUGUUCACGGCAAGCAAUCGCUUUGAAUACAUUAGCAUGGAAUAAUAAUAUAGGACC
rnacentral:rRNA from 1 species